AUUGAACGCUGGCGGCAUGCCUUACACAUGCAAGUCGAACGGUAACGGGCCUUCGGGUGCCGACGAGUGGCGAACGGGUGAGUAAUGUAUCGGAACGUACCUUUCAGUGGGGGAUAACGUAGCGAAAGUUACGCUAAUACCGCAUAUUCUGUGAGCAGGAAAGCAGGGGAUCGCAAGACCUUGCGCUGAUUGAGCGGCCGAUGUCAGAUUAGCUAGUUGGUGAGGUAAAGGCUCACCAAGGCGACGAUCUGUAGCGGGUCUGAGAGGAUGAUCCGCCACACUGGAACUGAGACACGGUCCAGACUCCUACGGGAGGCAGCAGUGGGGAAUUUUGGACAAUGGACGCAAGUCUGAUCCAGCCAUGCCGCGUGCGGGAAGAAGGCCUUCGGGUUGUAAACCGCUUUUGUCAGGGAAGAAAUCUUCUGAGUUAAUACCUCGGGAGGAUGACGGUACCUGAAGAAUAAGCACCGGCUAACUACGUGCCAGCCGCCGCCGUAAGAC
rnacentral:rRNA from 1 species